ACUAGAACCUGUACCUGAAAAACUUGUAAAAUCUUAGGAGGUCUCUGUGUGGCACACAGUAGAUCUGGUGAUACUGGUCCAUGUAAAAACUAUUGCUAGCUGACAAGCUCUAGGUAAAAUUAAUUAAAAUUGACAGAGUUUAAUUGUUUAGUCAGAGGUAUGUUUGCUGCGUUUCCUACUAAGUUGCAUUCAUGUAUGUUUGUGUUACAGGGUGCACAGUGUGUAGACUGUGACCAAGCAAAAAAGCCUGCUAGAAUAGUUCUGAUGGAGUGGACUGAACUGCCCAAAGGAGAGGAUCCAGACUAUUAUAUUCUGACAUACCAGCAAGCAGAUGCUUUCAGACAAAAAAAUGUAAGAAACAUUUCUAAAGCUGAACAGAAACCUGUCAGUACUGAAGUUCUGCUGGAGGAAAGUAGGAAGUAUGAUAUUACAAUAGAAUCCCUGAAAAAUGGCCAAAUCUUAAGCGUAAAAUCAUUUAAAACACGUGGAAUUUCAGAAAAUGAUAUCAAAACAUUAGUGACGGCUACUACAGUGUCUUUUAAUUGGAGUAUGAUGGUCAAAGAAUUUUCAGUUUCUCUGAUCCUGAAUGGUACUUCUCAGAUUAUAAAAAGCCCCAGUGGAUUCUUUGUAUGGAGAAAUUUGACACCCGCCACCAUUUAUACAUUUAAGUUUAUAUUUGAACAAUUAAAUCCAAAAUUUGUAAAUGUGUCUCAGUCACUGGAUAUUCAAGCUGAAACAGGUAUACAUUACAGUGUCUUGGAGUCACAGUGAAUGCAAGUUAGUACUGCAUAUUCUCUAGAAGAGUGUAGUGUAAAUGGUAAAAUCCUGUAUUCCAUUUUAUGUAUUUUAGUAGUAUGGAUAUUAUUUCUACAAAGAGGAAACAAAUUGAAUGUUAAUGACAUAGAAGGAUAUUUCUAAUUUAUACUUCCUAGUAUUUUAGGAGCAAGAAUUCGAAUUUGCAUGUGCAAAUAUUUUAACUGUAUUUUUGCAGCCUAAAAUAGAGUGAAGUCAAGGAUGAAGUUAAGCCUUG
rnacentral:lncRNA from 1 species